GUAGCAAUACUUUGGUGGCGACCGGCGCACGGGUGCGUAACGCGUAUGCAACCUACCUUUAACAGGGGCAUAACACUGAGAAAUUGGUACUAAUUCCCCAUAACAUUCGAGAAGGCGUCUUCUUGGGUUAAAAACUCCGGUGGUUAAAGAUGGGCAUGCGUUGUAUUAGCUAGUUGGUGAGGUAACGGCUCACCAAGGCAACGAUACAUAGGGGGACUGAGAGGUUAACCCCCCACAUUGGUACUGAGACACGGACCAAACUCCUACGGGAGGCAGCAGUGAGGAAUAUUGGUCAAUGGACGCAAGUCUGAACCAGCCAUGCCGCGUGCAGGAAGACGGCUCUAUGAGUUGUAAACUGCUUUUGUACUAGGGUAAACGCUCUUACGUGUAGGAGCCCGAAAGUAUAGUACGAAUAAGGAUCGGCUAACUCCGUGCCAGCAGCCGCGGUAAUACGGAGGAUCCAAGCGUUAUCCGGAUUUAUUGGGUUUAAAGGGUGCGUAGGCGGUUUGAUAAGUUAGAGGUGAAAUACCGGGGCUCAACUCCGGAACUGCCUCUAAUACUGUUGAACUAGAGAGUAGUUGCGGUAGGCGGAAUGUAUGGUGUAGCGGUGAAAUGCUUAGAGAUCAUACAGAACACCGAUUGCGAAGGCAGCUUACCAAACUAUAUCUGACGUU
rnacentral:rRNA from 1 species